rnacentral:rRNA from 1 species
UGGGGAAUAUUGCGCAAUGGGGGGAACCCUGACGCAGCCAUGCCGCGUGAAUGAAGAAGGCCUUCGGGUUGUAAAGUUCUUUCGGUAUUGAGGAAGGUUGAUGUGUUAAUAGCACAUCAAAUUGACGUUAAAUACAGAAGAAGCACCGGCUAACUCCGUGCCAGCAGCCGCGGUAAUACGGAGGGUGCGAGCGUUAAUCGGAAUAACUGGGCGUAAAGGGCACGCAGGCGGUUAUUUAAGUGAGGUGUGAAAGCCCCGGGCUUAACCUGGGAAUUGCAUUUCAGACUGGGUAACUAGAGUACUUUAGGGAGGGGUAGAAUUCCACGUGUAGCGGUGAAAUGCGUAGAGAUGUGGAGGAAUACCGAGGGCGAAGGCAGCCCCUUGGGAAUGUACUGACGCUCAUGUGCGAAAGCGUGGGGAGCAAACAGGAUUAGAUACCCUGGUAGUCCACGCUGUAAACGCUGUCGAUUUGGGGGUUGGGGUUUAACUCUGGCACCCGUAGCUAACGUGAUAAAUCGACCGCCUGGGGGAGUACGGCCGCAAGGUUA